rnacentral:rRNA from 1 species
GAAUAUUGGACAAUGGGCGCAAGCCUGAUCCAGCCAUGCCGCGUGCAGGAAGACUGCCCUAUGGGUUGUAAACUGCUUUUAUACGGGAAGAAACACUCCGACGUGUCGGAGCUUGACGGUACCGUAAGAAUAAGGAUCGGCUAACUCCGUGCCAGCAGCCGCGGUAAUACGGAGGAUCCAAGCGUUAUCCGGAAUCAUUGGGUUUAAAGGGUCCGUAGGUGGACAAUUAAGUCAGAGGUGAAAUCCUGCAGCUCAACUGUAGAAUUGCCUUUGAUACUGGUUGUCUUGAGUCAUUAUGAAGUGGUUAGAAUAUGUAGUGUAGCGGUGAAAUGCAUAGAUAUUACAUAGAAUACCAAUUGCGAAGGCAGAUCACUAAUAAUGUACUGACACUGAUGGACGAAAGCGUGGGGAGCGAACAGG